CCAGGCAGAGAGGUAGUAUUAGAACCUUUACCAGGGCAGGAUGGAGUACACUAACACCAGACAGAGAACCAGGUGGAGAGGUGGAGUUAGAACCUUUACUGGGGCAGGAUGGAGUACACUAACACCAGACAGAGGACCAGGUGGAGAGGUGGAGUUAGAACCUUUACCGGGGCAGGAUGGAGUACACUAACACCAGACAGAGGACCAGGUGGAGAGGUGGAGUUAGAACCUUUACCGGGGCAGGAUGGAGUACACUAACACCAGACAGAGGACCAGGUGGAGAGGUGGAGUUAGAACCUUUACUGGGGCAGGAUGGAGUACACUAACACCAGACAGAGGACCAGGUGGAGAGGUGGAGUUAGAACCUUUACUGGGGCAGGAUGGAGUACACUAACACCAGACAGAGGACCAGGUGGAGAGGUGGAGUUAGAACCUUUACUGGGGCAGGAUGGAGUACACUAACACCAGACAGAGAACCAGGUCAUUCAUACAACAUAACCGUACUUCUAUAGACCCCAAACAUUAAUACAGAUAGAAGACUUGGUGUUAGUCAUUCGCUACAAAACAAUCUAUACACUUUUAAUCUAUAUAACCCAAACUUUAAAUACAGCCCAUAUAACAAAGUGGUGCAUAACUAGACCCCAAAUAUUAGUAGCCGUGUUUGUGUUGGUCCGGAUCCUUCAUAGCGGCAGCCCAGCGGAAGGGUUUUGUUAGCUUUGUCAGCGUGAUCCUUUGCACCGGCUGAAGGCAUUUAGCUUCUCACCGCAUAGAAUUGGACUCCCUUAGCAAGCCAUCGUCCUUGGGAAAUGCCGACGCCUCAGGAAACUUGUUGAUGUGAAGGGUCAGAAAAGUCAUUGUUUGUGGAAAUCAGUAAAGAGACAGACAGGCAGGCAGGCAGGCAGGCAGACAGAUGAGGCAUUUUCAGUAGUGUCACCGACAAGUCAAACGAUCGUAAACAAAACAGUAUUUUUACUGAAAACGAAUUACAGCCCCGCUGCCAGACGACAGGCACCACCGCCCAGGAAUACCUGGUGUACAUCACCCUUCAGACCCAAAUACUCAUGGUGCACACACUGUUGGAAGUAGGAAGAUGGAGGAAUUUGACGAUUUGUUCCUAGAGGAUGACCACAGACCACCUGUGCUUAAUUCUUUGUCUAUGCCCCUCAGCCAGCGGCACAGAUGACUCCUGGGUGGCAGGAGUUGUGUUUACAGUUUGCAUGUAUGAGUUCUGAGCCAACUCUAAUUUUGUCCUUGUUUUAGUUUGGUGUCAACUAUAAUACUGCAAAAAUAUAUAUUUCCUCGCCCGCACAUGAUGAUUAUGUUAAGAGAUGAUGCAAGAAACGCACCAACAUACGAACAAACAGCUCUGGUCCGGGUUUAAAGCCACGGCCACGAAACAGUCGGACAACGCUGCCGGGCGGUCAGACAGAUGCCAAACGUCAUCAGAAAACGCAUCAUCUUCCCUUCUUUCCCUUGCCUUGUGGCAUUUUCACUAAAGGUUCUUUUUAAUGUGAAAUGACAAGAAAAUAAAUAUUUAUUUAAACAACAACAACUUUCUGGGUCUCAAAGAGCAUUAUGUUCUAUAUUUUAUUCUUCAAAAUACAUUCCUGCGGGAACUUGGCUGCUGUGUGCCGUGGUUACUACUCGCUGAUUGGACGAUGAAAAGCGUUUGCUGGCGUUUGCUCGCGAUUGCCUUUUGGGCAAACACGUCACGGAGGACGUUUGAUCCCGUUUGCGUCUGUUUGCUCUCAUUUGAGUUGUCGGUGACACUACUGAAAAUACCUAUACAUAGAUAGAUAGACAAACAUAGAUAGACAGACGGACUUGAGAACCAGAGACAAAAAAAUACAUACAGAAAACUUAAACAAAACAAAUAAAAGAUAAAGAUAAGUAAAUAGAGAUAAGACGAGACAAGAGGAAACGAGACGAAACAAGACAAAACGAGACGAGAGACAAAAUAACAGACAGACAGACAGAAUAGAAGAUAAGAGAGAAACAAACAAACAAACAAACAAACAUACAAGGAAAACAGGAAAACCACACGACAGACAAACACAGACAGAUAAACAAACACACAAACACACAAACAAGCAGAAGAUAAGAGAGAAACAAAGAAACAAACAUACAUACAUUCCUCCCGAAAUUGACCUCUCUUUGGACACUCCUUUGACCUCUAUUCAGGAGCAGUAAGUAGCGGGCUUUUUUUUAUAUAUAUAUUUUCCUUUACGCCCUUGAACUGUCUCCUUAGCUGUAAAAAAAAAUAAUAAUACAAAAUACAGGAAAACACAAGACAGACAACCACACAGACGAACGAACAAACACACAAACACACAAACAAACACAUAUGCCGCAGGUGGUCUUAACAGCUGUUGUGCUUCUCUUUGCAGACGGACAGUGCUUGUAAAGUUAAGAGAGAGGUAUUGGUUGAACCGUCACCCCGUACACACCAACCCACCCCACACCCCACAGAGAGAGUCCCGUUCUUGCACCCCAGAAACCCCCGUAGCCAUGUAGUCAGAUCCCUCCCCUCCACACCCCUUCCCUUCCCUCCCUUUCCCUCGUCCGUAUGUGUGUGUGUGUGUUUGUGUUUGUGUUUACCCCCUUGGUCUGUUGGUGUGUUUGUCUGUAAUCUCCCUCCCUUUGUCUGUAUUUCUCUCCCUUUUUUCAUAUGUUUUUGUUUCUCUCCCUUUGUUUGGUCUGUUUUAUCUCCCUUUGUUUGUGUGUUCAUGUGUUUGUAUCUCCCUCCCUUUGUCUGUCUGUAUCUCUCUCCCUUUGUUUAUCUGUUUGUAUUCCUCCCUUCAUUUGGUCUGUUUUAUCUCCCUUUGUUUGUGUGUUCAUGUGUUUGUAUCUCCCUCCCUUUGUCUGUAAUCUCCCUUUCUUUGUUUUCUCCCUUCAUUUGGUCUGUUUUAUCUCCCUUUGUUUGUGUGUUCGUGUGUUUGUAUCUCCCUCCCUUUGUCUGUAAUCUCCCUCCCUUUGUAUCUCUCUCCCUUUGUCUAUUCAUGUUUGUUGUUCUCCCUUCAUUUGGUCUUUUUUAUCUCCCUUUGUUUGUUUGUUUGUGUGUUUGUAUCUCCCUCCCUUUGUCUGUCUGUAUCUCUCUCCCUUUGUCUCUGUAUCUCUCUCCCUUUGUUUGUUUAUCUGUUUGUAUUUCUCCCUUUGUUUGUUUGUGUGUUUGUAUCUCCCUCCCUUUGUCUGUCUGUAUCUCUCUCCCUUUGUUUGUUUAUCUGUUUGUAGUUCCCUCCCUUUAUUUGGUCUUUUUAUCUCCCUUUGUUUGUCUGUUCAUCUGUUUAUCUCCCUCCCUUUGUGUGUAUUUCUCUCCCUUUGCUCAUCUGUUUGUAUUUCUCCCUUCAUUUGGUCUGUUUUAUCUCCCUUUCUUUGCCUGUUGGUCUAUUUUUGUCUCCCUUUGUCCCCUCCCUUUGUUCACCUAUUUAUCUCCUCCCUUUGUUAGUAUGUGUGUGUGUUUAUCUCCCUUUGUUUAGUCUGUCUUCCCCCUUUCUAGUUAGUGUGUGUUUCCUUUUCUCCCUUCCUCCCCAUUCUCAUUUCCUUCUUUUCUUUAUUCUUUUCUUCCUCUUUAUCUAGGUUUGUGUGGUGUUCUGUUUCCUCUCUUCCUUCCUUCUUCUCUCGUUUGCCUUGUCUCCCCUUCAUCUGUUCCCCCUCCAUGCCUCCUCUCCUUCCUUCCUUCCCAUUCUCAUUUUCUUUAUUCUCUUCUUUAUUCUUGUCUCCCUCUUUAUCUAGGUUUGUGUGGUAUUCUGUUUCCUCUCAUCCUUCCUUCUCCUCUCGUUCAUCUGUUCCCUCUCCUUCCUUCUUCCUUAUUCUCAUUUACUUCAUUCUCUUCUUUAUUUUUGUCUUCCUCUUUAUCUAGGUUUGUGUGGUAUUCUGUUUCCUCUCUUCCUUCCUUCCUCUCUCGUUCAUUUCGUCUCCCCCUCAUCUGUUCCCUGUCCCCUCACACACGCACACACACACAGCGUUUAGAGAUGUAGAGUUGAGUAGUUUAUUUCAGACACUUAAGAGUUUAUGUAGUGUUGUAUUGAUGUAGAUUUUGAGUUGGUUGUCACUGUGAUUAGUCUAGAGUUUGAUUUCGUGCUUCUUUUGUUUUUGU